UGUAGGGGUACAGUGUUAUGG
rnacentral:piRNA from 1 species